UACAUAUAUAGCUUAUAAAAAUAAAGAAUUUCAUGUUUAAGUUAAAAAAAUCAAGACAAGAACAUGCUUAAACUUUAACAAAAUAUUUAUACGUACCUACAUAUAAUUAGGCAAAUUGAGGUUGCAUUUAAAUAAGAGUUGUAAGAUUUCAAGAGUUUUAAGCACCCUGUUCCAUUCACCUUUGAUUUGAUUGAAAGCUUAUUAAAGCUCAUCAGCUUAUCAGCAAACGAAAUCGAAGUUUUGAUGAGCGUGGUUUUAAAUUUCCAAUAAAGGUACUUCCGCAUCCCGACGAGCAUGUAGCGCACUUUGGGCGCGGAUAGGACAUCCAGGAGUAUGACCAUCAGGGCCUGAAAGCUCUCAUAGGUGCCAUCUUUAUACUCCAGCAGAGCCUUGCCAAAGCGGCGGAAUUGAUCCUGGGUGACCAGACUGCGUAGCUGCAAUGUAAGGUAUAUAAUUAACAGCAGUAUGAAAGAAAUUUCCAAUGUAUCCCACCUCUCGGAGAAAAUCGGCCCUUUCCGCAGGUGCCUCCUUAACUUGCGAACUGCUUGGCUCCACCUUGAUGUUCUCCACCAGCUUAUAUCGCUUCUUUGACACCUGACUGGAGGAUUCCGGCUGCGUCGGCGAGCUUCGCUCCCGCUUGUGAAUCUUCACCAUGCCAGAGGAGCCACUUUUACUAUCCAUGCAGCAGUUAAAAUCGAUACUCUAGAAAGGGGAAAACAAUUCCGUAGGAACUAAAUAAACACAAAGUAAAAGUAGA